GGCAGUUGACGCUGUGAGGAGGCAGCCUGGCCCUUUGGCCUUGUGUCCGUAGAGGGUGCUGGUGGACUUGGAGGUCGGAGCAACUGAGCGCCACUCUGCCGAAGCACCUCCUUCAUUGCCUCAACGGUCUCCGGCUCAUUUCGUGGUUUCUGGUUCCUGUGGAAAGAUGAUUCAAAAGUGGGACCUGGCACCUAAUCCUGGAGACCCGCCACUCCUUCUCCGCUCCUGAGUGACUCCAGACAUCUACUUGGGAUCCUAAGCUCCACAUGUGAUGGGAGAAACUCCACAAGGACAGGCAAAGACAGAUCAAGGAGCUGUAAGGUGAUUGAACCAUACAGCUCACGUAGGUAAGGAAACAUUUAGACUCCAACUGACCAGCAUGGAAGUCUCCCCUCUAGGAGAGGAAUAAACAAACAUUUUGUGUAAAUAACCAGGUAGUGGUCAUUUCUAUAAAUGAGUAGAUAGCAAAUAUUUUAAGCUUUGCAGGUCAUGUAGUCUCUAUCUCAAAUACUUAGCUCUAAUAUUGUGGCACAAAGGCAGCCAUUCAUAAUAAAUAAUCAAAUGGUUAUGGUUGUAUUCCAAUAAAACUUUAUUUACAAAAACAGUCCAUGGGCUAGAUUUGGCCUAUAGACCAUAGUUUUCUGACCUUUCUGUGAGGCAUUUAUGAGACCACAAGAGAGUUUUACUUAAAGGCUUCUUUAGAACUGCCCUAAAAAAAACUUUAGAUAAGAAGUCACAAAAGGAUCAAGUUGAUCCAUAAGUAACAACUUUCUGCAAAAACAAAGAGCAACACCUUUUAAAGAAAAAGAACAAAAUUCAGAUAUUCAAUAUCAUGUCAACCAUUAAAUUUUAAAAAAUACUUUUUUGGGAGCUGUGGCACUUUUUUGGCUCUUGCAGUAUGUGGGAUCUAGUUCCAUGACCAGGGAUCAAACCUGGGCCUCCUGAAUUGGGAGUCUGGAGUCUUAACACUGGACCACCAGAGAAGUCCCUCAGCCAUUAAAUUAAAAAAUUACUAGGCAUGACAAGAAGCAGGAGAAGGUGACACAUAAGCAGAAGAAGACCAGGGGAAACAGACUCAGAAAUUACAUAGAUGAUUGAAUUAGCAGACAUGACUUUAAAAUAGGCCAACAAGGGAAAAC
rnacentral:lncRNA from 1 species